rnacentral:rRNA from 2 species
AAGUCGAGGGGUAACAGGGAGCUUGCUCCGCUGACGACCGGCGCACGGGUGCGUAACGCGUAUAGAACCUACCUUUUACUGAGGGAUAGCCUUUAGAAAUGAAGAUUAAUAUCUCAUAGUAUUGAGAAGUGGCAUCACUUUUUAAUUAAAGAUUUAUUGGUAAAAGAUGGCUAUGCGUCCUAUUAGCUAGAUGGUAAGGUAACGGCUUACCAUGGCGACGAUAGGUAGGGGUCCUGAGAGGGAGAUCCCCCACACUGGUACUGAGACACGGACCAGACUCC